GCAAGUCGAACGGAAAGGCCCCUUCGGGGGUACUCGAGUGGCGAACGGGUGAGUAACACGUGGGUGAUCUGCCCUGCACUUUGGGAUAAGCCUGGGAAACUGGGUCUAAUACCGAAUAGGACCGCAUGCUGCAUGGUGUGUGGUGGAAAGCUUUUGCGGUGUGGGAUGGGCCCGCGGCCUAUCAGCUUGUUGGUGGGGUAAUGGCCUACCAAGGCGACGACGGGUAGCCGGCCUGAGAGGGUGUCCGGCCACACUGGGACUGAGAUACGGCCCAGACUCCUACGGGAGGCAGCAGUGGGGAAUAUUGCACAAUGGGCGCAAGCCUGAUGCAGCGACGCCGCGUGGGGGAUGACGGCCUUCGGGUUGUAAACCUCUUUCAGUAUCGGCGAAGCUCCAAGGUUUUCUUUGGGGUGACGGUAGGUACAGAAGAAGCACCGGCCAACUACG
rnacentral:rRNA from 1 species